rnacentral:rRNA from 1 species
GACCGAUAGUGAACCAGUACCGUGAGGGAAAGGCGAAAAGAACCCCGGCGAGGGGAGUGAAAAAGAACCUGAAACCGUGUACGUACAAGCAGUGGGAGCACAGAGCAAUCUGUGUGACUGCGUACCUUUUGUAUAAUGGGUCAGCGACUUAUAUUCUGUAGCAAGGUUAACCGAAUAGGGGAGCCGAAGGGAAACCGAGUCUUAACUGGGCGUUAAGUUGCAGGGUAUAGACCCGAAACCCGGUGAUCUAGCCAUGGGCAGGUUGAAGGUUGGGUAACACUAACUGGAGGACCGAACCGACUAAUGUUGAAAAAUUAGCGGAUGACUUGUGGCUGGGGGUGAAAGGCCAAUCAAACCGGGAGAUAGCUGGUUCUCCCCGAAAGCUAUUUAGGUAGCGCCUCGUGAAUUCAUCUCCGGGGGUAGAGCACUGUUUCGGCAAGGGGGUCAUCCCGACUUACCAACCCGAUGCAAACUGCGAAUACCGGAGAAUGUUAUCACGGGAGACACACGGCGGGUGCUAACGUCCGUCGUGAAGAGGGAAACAACCCAGACCGCCAGCUAAGGUCCCAAAGUCAUGGUUAAGUGGGAAACGAUGUGGGAAGGCCCAGACAGCCAGGAUGUUGGCUUAGAAGCAGCCAUCAUUUAAAGAAAGCGUAAUAGCUCACUGGUCGAGUCGGCCUGCGCGGAAGAUGUAACGGGGCUAAACCAUGCACCGAAGCUGCGGCAGCGACGCUUAUGCGUUGUUGGGUAGGGGAGCGUUCUGUAAGCCUGCGAAGGUGUGCUGUGAGGCAUGCUGGAGGUAUCAGAAGUGCGAAUGCUGACAUAAGUAACGAUAAAGCGGGUGAAAAGCCCGCUCGCCGGAAGACCAAGGGUUCCUGUCCAACGUUAAUCGGGGCAGGGUGAGUCGACCCCUAAGGCGAGGCCGAAAGGCGUAGUCGAUGGGAAACAGGUUAAUAUUCCUGUACUUGGUGUUACUGCGAAGGGGGGACGGAGAAGGCUAUGUUGGCCGGGCGACGGUUGUCCCGGUUUAAGCGUGUAGGCUGGUUUUCCAGGCAAAUCCGGAAAAUCAAGGCUGAGGCGUGAUGACGAGGCACUACGGUGCUGAAGCAACAAAUGCCCUGCUUCCAGGAAAAGCCUCUAAGCAUCAGGUAACAUCAAAUCGUACCCCAANUCAAGGCUGAGGCGUGAUGACGAGGCACUACGGUGCUGAAGCAACAAAUGCCCUGCUUCCAGGAAAAGCCUCUAAGCAUCAGGUAACAUCAAAUCGUACCCCAAACCGACACAGGUGGUCAGGUAGAGAAUACCAAGGCGCUUGAGAGAACUCGGGUGAAGGAACUAGGCAAAAUGGUGCCGUAACUUCGGGAGAAGGCACGCUGAUAUGUAGGUGAAGUCCCUCGCGGAUGGAGCUGAAAUCAGUCGAAGAUACCAGCUGGCUGCAACUGUUUAUUAAAAACACAGCACUGUGCAAACACGAAAGUGGACGUAUACGGUGUGACGCCUGCCCGGUGCCGGAAGGUUAAUUGAUGGGGUCAGCGCAAGCGAAGCUCUUNAACCGACACAGGUGGUCAGGUAGAGAAUACCAAGGCGCUUGAGAGAACUCGGGUGAAGGAACUAGGCAAAAUGGUGCCGUAACUUCGGGAGAAGGCACGCUGAUAUGUAGGUGAAGUCCCUCGCGGAUGGAGCUGAAAUCAGUCGAAGAUACCAGCUGGCUGCAACUGUUUAUUAAAAACACAGCACUGUGCAAACACGAAAGUGGACGUAUACGGUGUGACGCCUGCCCGGUGCCGGAAGGUUAAUUGAUGGGGUCAGCGCAAGCGAANCGACUUGCUCGUGGAGCUGAAAUCAGUCGAAGAUACCAGCUGGCUGCAACUGUUUAUUAAAAACACAGCACUGUGCAAACACGAAAGUGGACGUAUACGGUGUGACGCCUGCCCGGUGCCGGAAGGUUAAUUGAUGGGGUCAGCGCAAGCGAAGCUCUUGAUCGAAGCCCCGGUAAACGGCGGCCGUAACUAUAACGGUCCUAAGGUAGCGAAAUUCCUUGUCGGGUAAGUUCCGACCUGCACGAANCAGCGCAAGCGAAGCUCUUGAUCGAAGCCCCGGUAAACGGCGGCCGUAACUAUAACGGUCCUAAGGUAGCGAAAUUCCUUGUCGGGUAAGUUCCGACCUGCACGAAUGGCGUAAUGAU